CUAGCUUUUCAUUUCUUUGGACACCAAAGUCACAGAUUUCAAGAAAGCAGAUCUCAGCAAAGAAAUUACAAUGGUUGAUUUCAACCCUCAAUUACCUGAGUUAAAAUUAAUUAUAAUUAAUAUUAUUUCUCACUCAUUAAAUGGGCAGCAAUUAACGGGAUAAUUCCUUCAUGACAAAUGUUUAAUGUAUACUAGAAGUGUUGGAUUAAUAGCCGCUAAAUUCCCUUCCAGCUUGACAAUUAGAAGGUUUGAACACGAGUAGAAAAGAGAAAGCAAACAUACUGCCUCUUUCCCUUAUUCUUUUAAUCAGAAUAGAGCUGGAUGGGGCCUUGGAGGUCUUCUAGUCCAACCCGCUGCUCAAGCAGAAGAGACAAGUGGCUACACCAUUUCAGACAAGUGGCUGUCCAGACUCUUCUUAAAGGCCUCCAGUGAUGGAUCACCCACAACUUCUGAAGGCAAGCUGUUCCACUGGUUAAUUGUUCUCACUGUUAGGAAGUUUCUCCUUAAUUCCAGGUUGUCGAAACGCAACAUGUGGGAGUAGGAGGAAUAAAGGAAAGUUCCAUUCACAGUUAUAUACCCUUAAUAUAACUCUGUACGUGGCCUGUGACCCUGUUUCAGACUAUACAAGCUACACUUAUAGUCAAACAAAUUAAGUUCACUUACCUUUAGAAUCCCAGGCUAAACCCCCUUGCCUCUACCCUGGUGUGUGUGUGUGUGUGUGUGUGUGUGUGUGUGUGUGUGUGUGUAAAAACAUAUACUCCUUUCUCCAGUCUACAUUUCACGCAUCUGAUGAAUCAGACUGUGAAUCAGAAAUGCUUGUGCAAUAAAUAAAUAUGCUGGUCUUCCAGGUGCAAUAAAACUUUCUCACUUCUGCAGCAAUGAACUAACAAGGCCAUACCCUUGGGUGUGCAUGAUUUACAGCACAACCUUAAGCAUGUUUGUCUAGUGUUAAGCCCCGCUGUGCCAUAUGAGGUAACAAUGCACAGAACCGAAACCACACUUGCUGAGCAAAGUAGAAUGUGUUGGAACUGUAUUAACACAAGCCCUUAACGACUUGAAGGACAAGUGAGGGAAAGCUAUAUUAAGGCAACUGAGAAAGAGAUGUUCAUGACAAUGCUAUUAAAAUUGCCCCUACAUACCCAGAGAGACAAAACAAAAACAAGAAACAAACAUGGUUAUUGGCAAGUAGGAAUUUAAGAACCCAACUUGAGAUUCCCCUGCCUCAGAAGUCACAGAUAAAUAUUCUUUUUUUACUGGCAUAUUUUCAUACUAGCCUAUGUUAAUAAAAUCAAACUCAGACUUGGACGAAGAGAAAAGCUAGUUAGAAUAAACCUGAUAACAUCAAAAAUUGGAUGCUUAAACCAUUAGGGGAUACUCAAAGCCUUAUCGGCAAGCUGCCAGGUCAAGAAUCGCCCUGCCAAUUUUACACUCUCCAUGUAGGCUGUGUUUGCCGGUAUUUAAUUUACCUCCAACGUUCUAUUAACCAGAAUCAAUACUGGCAUUUACCUGCAUUAUCUGAUUGUGUGUCUUAUCCAAAUACAUUCAACUACUGCCUCAUUUAUGUAUAAUGCAUUUCUACUUGUUGGCCUUGCUUUAAACAAGAUCGUUGACAACCUAAAUGAAUAGCUAAACAGAGUUGUGCAAGGAUAUUGCUGCCAUCUUUUGCAACAAUAACAACACAACAUUUCUGCCUUGGACACAAUGAAACAUGGACAGUGAAAAGAGCAGCAGAAAAGGUGAUGCUGAGCUUCAGGCAGAUGGUCCAUUCUCCUCUGUUAACAACCCAUGGACUGAGGACAAAAGGAGGAUGAGAAGCCAAACUGCAGGCAGAGAGAAGUGGACCUUCUAGAAGACAAAGUUUUAUUUUCAGUUUGAAACAAAGCACAUUUUUUGUUUUAUGCAAACCCAAUACAAAAUCCUAAGAAAACGAUAUUACCCUUUAGUGCCUAAUUUCAAAUGCACCAUCUUUUCUCACCUUUAAAUAAACUAACCAUGCCAGAGACCUGUACAUUUUCUCGAUUUUUUUUUUUUUGGUAGAAACUAAAUGCUUUUCAUUUGUGGGCUUUUGGUAUACUCUAUUUCACUUGCCAUAAACUUUACAAUAUUUAAAGGUUGCUUCCAUCAUAGGUUGAUUGAGAUCCAGCUAAUCAGUAGUUAACUAAUUUUGUUGCAGAGACCUAAGUAGAAACUGAACUCUUGGACAAUUCUUUAUGGUCACCGUAGAAUUUUUAUUCCUAAAUCCAAAUGUGAUUUUAUUGUCACUAUUCUUUGAGAGUCUCUUUAUGAUGUCUUUGGAGAUAUUUAAAUGCACUAAAUAAAUCAGUCUUUAGGCUAACUGUUCAACCUGAAUGUCUGAUUAUAACUCCCAGAAUGAGGACACUACCAGCCUUUGGCCCUGCUGACUGUACUUGUAGAUGUUAAGUAAACUAAUUAUGAAAAAGUUGGCUUCAGCACUCGCAUUAUUGCAUAUAAUAAAGUUCUUGUUUAUCAAAAUCUAUUAUCUUGA